rnacentral:lncRNA from 1 species
CGCAGGCCGCCUUGGAGCCGGAUGGACCCCACGGAAAAUGCUCUGCCGGCGAAAGCGGCUGGCAAUGGGGUUGAUUUCAAGGCAGGGAAGAGCCAUCGCGCUGCCCUCCUCGGCUGGGAUGGCGAGACAGGGCUGGCACGGCUCACGCUGUCCGGUGCUCAGAAAACCGGUAAUCGCGGGCCCGAGGCGCUGCUCGCCGCCGUUUUUUGGCCCUGGGUUCCGUCGAGUGGAUCCAGCUUGUCAGUCUUUGUGUAGAUUUGGCUGCGUUCGCUCCGCACUUCGGAGGAGGUGGCGUUUCAUGGGAAGAAAUGCGCUCUAGCAGAUGGCCGCCGUGGCCAGUCAGCCCUGCUGCCACCGACGAAGACGCGGGCGACAGACCUGGACUCUAAAGAAAUCUGCACAGACGUGCCCGGCGCCCUCGGCCUUCCCAGCUCCGCGGCCGCAGCGACGCCGGUUAGGAUGUCGGCCCUGUGGGAGGGGCGCCCUUCCUGGUGCCGGGCCCUAACCCACGACCUGGAACAGCAGCUGGCCCGUGGCAAAUGCUGAGCAUAUCUCCUGAAAGAAUGGCUUCGCCGGUCCCUAGAGAAUGCACCCGAGUUUUGUGGUAUAUACACAUACGUACUUUUUUUCCAAGUAUAUUUUAUUUCUUGGCAAACAUGGCCCUUUGUGAUCGCUGUGUUUCUCUCCUCCCAUCCAUUAUACAACACUAAGUGAUUCAUCAUUCUUUGAACAAAUCAAACUGUUUCACACCUGCCAUGCAUUUGUACCGACCGUGCUCUUCCCUCUACUGCCGCAGCCCCCCAGGUAGAAGUCCUUUUUAUACUUCAAAAAUUCCCACCCAGGCAAAUUUCAAGCACCUUACCCCUACCCCAUCCCACUCUGCCCAUCUCUAAUUGCGCUGGUCUGAACCCGCACAAAUGUCUGUGUAGUUUCUGCACUUCAUAACAGCUUAUAUGACAGUUGCUCCAGCCAUUCUGUGAACCCCUGAGGGGAAGGGCCAGGUCUUGCUAGUCAUUUUAUUUCUAAUGUCUAUCAUCUGGUAGAUGUUUAAUAAAUGCUAAGUUGAAUAAUUCUAUCUUACACAUAUAUUGUAUUUUUAAUUCUCUUUUCAUGUCUUCUGUUUUAGAAGCAAUUCUCAAUUUAAAAACGACAAAACCAAAUAGGAACAAAAAUGAUAAAACUUGAAAACAACAACAACAAAAAAAGCUGCUGAACCAGAGGUUCAGUAUGAGAGGAAUUGCAAAGAACAGUUUUGAAAUCUCUAGGCCUUAGUCAGAUAGAAAUUACAAAUCAAAAAUAUAAUCAGACUCCCUGAGACACUAACACUAGGAAAAUGAAUAAAGUUAACUUGGAGCAGCCCAAGAACAAACUUAUAAGUGCAUGAUGGUAUUUUAUGUGCAAAACUGCUUUAUAAGUACUAUAAGACUAUUACAGGUAUUACCAGUGCCCUCAGUGUAAACUCCUUGGCCCACCCAUGUAAAGUGUACAUCGAGCCCUCAGGGUCCCUGACUGGUUCUCCAGCCGCCCCAUAGGCUAUGAGCAUCCCCGUUCCCUACACAAAGGACCACUGGGAUUUAUUAAAGGUUAUGCCUUGCAAUGCAGUACAAAGUUUUAUAUGAUAGUGUCUUGUUGCCUGUUUCUACAAAAGCCAAGGGUGUAACAUUAAAUGCAAUUUUGCAAGGGGCUGAGGUGAUGUGGUCCAAGUAUGUAAUCACUUCAGGGAGCCAUAUGUGACCUUCAUAC